GUGGGGAAUAUUGGGCAAUGGGGGGAACCCUGACCCAGCGACGCCGCGUGGGUGAAGAAAUCCUUCGGGAUGUAAAGCCCUGUUGUAUGGGAAGAGCGGAAGACGGUACCAUACGAGGAAGCCCCGGCAAACUACGUGCCAGCAGCCGCGGUAAUACGUAGGGGGCAAGCGUUGUCCGGAAUUACUGGGCGUAAAGCGCACGCAGGCUGAAUUAUAAGUCGGUAGUAAAAGGCGGGGGCUAAACUUCCGUAUAUCUAUCGAUACUGUCAAUCUAGAGUAUGUAAGAGGGAAGCGGAAUUCCCGAUGUAGCAGUGAAAUGCGUAGAUAUCGGGAGGAACACCAGUGGCGAAGGCGGCUGCCUGGCACAAUACUGACGCUCAUGUGCGAAAGCUAGGGCAGCGAACGGGAUUAGAAACCCGUGUAGUCC
rnacentral:rRNA from 1 species